UCCUCACGAAUCUCUGCGAGUUUCUUCUUAGCAUAAACCCUAAGAUCGAACUCAGCCUCUCUCUCUCUCUAUAUAUAUAUAUAUACUAUAUUCCCGGAUCCACCUCUCAAAAUUACUAAUUUACUCCUCACGAAGAUUAACCCUACUAAGAUCGAAAUCAGAAUCUCUCUCUCUCUCUCUAGCAAUGGAUCCGUUAUCGGUGCUGAAGGACUUCACGACGCGCGGAGACCUGGAUAAAAUCGAACGGGUCGGAGCCAAUUACCGAUUCGGAUCCGGAUACUCCUUCCCCUGCGCGACAGAGACGGCGUACAGAUCCAAAGGCGGAAGCCUCUACACUCUAGAAGCCUUAGUCCACUACGUGAAGAACCACCACCUCAAACUCGGAGAGUACAUGCAAUCCACCGUCAAAAACUCCGUCCCCGCCGUUACGCUACCGGAUCGGAAACCUCUCCUCGAUUACCUCACCGGGAGAGUAGCCUCCUCCGAUUCGAUCGACUACCUCCUGCUCCAGCAGCAGAACGCCCAGAGCCAGAAGCAGAACGAAGAGUACAGACCCGAUCAAGACAACUCUGCUUUCGUCUCCCGAGAAAACGCCGUCGAAGAGGUUGACGGUUACGGCGGAGAGGACGUUGAUUACAUUAUGCUGAUUCGGUCCAACGAGAGGCCGUUGAAGAGCCGAGACGCGAUCCUCGAGUGCAAGAACAGAGAUUUCCACAGCGUGUUGGUGAAUUCGACCAAGAGGGAAGAGGAGAGGCAGAGGAUCGAGUCUCACCAGAGGAAAGACGGCUUGGUCGCCAAGAGUAGGUUGAUGGGUGCUGAAGAGAGAGGCAUUGUAGGCUUCACCGGCGGCGGAGGUGAUGAUUCUGGUUAUGAUGCUAACCCUAAGUCUAAGCUUAGGAAGAUUGGGGAAGGUGUGCCGAUCAUUCUUGUCCCGAGUGCGUUUCAGACGCUGAUUACUAUAUACAAUGUGAAGGAGUUUCUUGAGGAUGGAGUUUAUAUACCGAAUGAUGUUAAGGCUAAGGAGAUGAAAGGGGUGAAGCCUGAUUGUAUUACGGUUCAGAAGAAGUUUAGUAGAGAUAGGGAGAGGGUUGUGACUGCUUAUGAGGUUAGGGAUAAGCCUUCUGCUUUGAAGCCUGAUGACUGGGACCGUGUUGUUGCGGUUUUCGUGUUGGGCAAGGAUUGGCAGUUCAAGGAUUGGCCUUUCAAGGACCAUGUUGAGAUUUUCAAUAAGAUAAUUGGGUUCUUCUUGCGGUUUGAAGAUGAUAGUAUUGAAUCAGCCAAGACGGUGAAGCAGUGGAAUGUGAAGAUUAUCUCGAUUAGUAAGAAUAAGAGGCAUCAAGACCGGGCUGCAGCAUUAGAAGUCUGGGAAAAACUUGAGGAGUUUGUUCGGUCUCGGUCACAUUCUUAGCAUCUAGCAGCUGUAGAAAGUCACUUUAUGUUGAAGUUCUAUGUUUCAAGAAGAUUAGCCAUUGAAUGGGUGAGGAAGUUUCUACCUUCUGCUAGCUUGAGCUGUGAAGACAAUCUACUCCAGUGAUAUGUAACGUGUUUAUUAUAAAAAGGUAAAGAGAUCCAAUAUCACCCGGAGAGUAGGGACUCACGGAGCACAGAAUAAAUACAUCACACGAAGUCACAAGGAAAUGUGAACAAGUAGGGAAAAAUAAAGAAUGCAAUCUGAGUGGUAUAAAAGCUUCAUAGGUUUCAGGAGAACUGUGGAUGGGGAAACUCAAUAUUUCAAGAAGAUUGCCAUGUAGGAAGCCGCGGAAAGGAAGGCAAGAA